AGAAAACCAGGUCAGUCAAUCAGAAUGCAAUUUGCUGAAAGCCUGCUUUUUGGACGUGAGCAUUAAGCCAACACCAGGAGAGAGGAAAAAACACAAGGCAUGACAGUGGAGGCUUGCAUUCGCAGAAGGGAGCGGCCAUGCACUUGGCUAAGAUGGGGUAUUUUGAGGUAAACACCUGAAAUUGAGCAGUUUCCUCAUUUCUGUCAACUGCAGAUUGGGAGGCAGAAGUUAAAUGCAGGCAUUUUUCCUCUCCACAAAUGAAAUGCAGUGUUCAGAAAACUCUUUGUAAAGUGUUUCCUGGAUAGCUGUGAUUUGCAGACUGUGUCCCUGAACCUAGACAACAGAGAGCUCUUUUGGACACGUUAACAGGGCAUGAAGCUCUAAUAAUCUCCAGCUCAAGAAAUCCACAAGUCGUUACCCCUCUGCCCCCAAAAACCUUCCGGGAGGUGGUGGGUGUGGAGGAUUCAAGCACAGGUCAGAGGAAGCAGCUCUGUGCAUCUUGGACUGUGAGUUGUCCAUGGUUGGUUGGCCUUCACCCAGGCACCCACGGAGGAUGGUUACUGCUUAUCAGAUUAUCAGCAUUCAGGCUGUCUUCUCCCUGGCACAACCUCUUCUGUCUGCCACAAACCAGGCAUAGAAUUUUGAUGGAAAUCUACAUGUUUCCUUUUUGCAGACCUCCCUCAAGACCUCCUCCAUCUGCUGUUGGGCCCCAUCUUUUACCAAGGACCCCUCUCCAGAGGGCAGUAGAGUCUCAUCCCCUCUCCUCUUGUACCUACAGACACUGCUGCUUCAAACUUCAGCUGGAUGUCCAAGGAGUCUUCUGCUUCUCUCACGGGAAAGCGGGUUGCCAAGAAUGGUGUCCCAGCAUUCACACCCUUGUGCAGUGCCCGCCCAUAUUGUGUUAGGGUAAAUCUCUGUGACAGUAGCAUAUGGCAGAAGAACGUGGUGGGCGUCAUGCUGUGAGCAGCCCAAUGGAGAGACCCAUGUGGUAAGGAAUGAAAGUCCCUUGGAAGCAGACCCUCCCACCCCAGUCAAGCCUGACGUGUGAGAUCCUGAACCAGCACCAUCAAGCUAAAUCAAUCCCAGACUCCUAACCCUCAGAAACUGUGUGAGAUAAUAAAUAAUGUGAGAUAAAACCUACUAACUUUGGGGAUAAUUUGUUACACAGCAAUAAAUAACUAACGCACUCCUCUGUCCACAGUGAUAGUGCAAAACUCAGUCCCAUGCACCUUCCACAAGAAAGGUGUGUUCCACUAAAGACAUGUGGAGCCAUAGGGGAGAAUUAUGCACAUAAGUGUAGCAUUCCUUUUCCCUGGCUCUGUCUCUAUGUGCUUCCUCUCAGAACUGCUACCUUCUGAAGACCCACGUUGCAGACACGUGGCCUCUAUGCCAGGUGACAUCCCCUGGGACACCUAGUCCAGUCUUUCUCCCAAAUCUGCCCACUGUCACAUCACAUCUGCUUUAAAAUGAGGUCACUCUGUACCUACUACUGAUAAAAUUGCAUUUUCAUUUAUCAUAUUAUAUAAGUCCUUCCAAACCAACAAAUAUCCUUGUAAGAAGCAUCUUUUCAAUAAUUGCAAACUAUUCCCUUGUGUAUGAAUAGAACAGAAUUUAUUAACCUUAUCCAUUUUGUGCUACAUUUCAAUUAUUUCCUGGAUUUAUAAAAAAUACUCCAGUGCAUAUCCUUGGAACUAAGUCUUUGAAGAGAUCUUUAGUAAUUUUCAUGGGAUAAAUUUCUUGACAGAUAAAGGCAAGGAAAUGAAGAGAUUUUAGGCUGUUAUAGCAUUUGGUAUUCAUUGCCUUACAGAGUUCCAAAAAUAAUUAUGCAACUUUUGUUAUGAUUGAUAUUAGGGUUCUGAGGGGGCCUGCACUCCCGCUUAAAUUGUGGAUUAUUUAAAUGUAUUUCUGAAAUGUUUGCCCUCUGUCAAAUGCUGUUAUUUUCAAA
rnacentral:lncRNA from 10 species